GGUGGUUUGGCAGAUGGCUCUGUCAUGUUAAGCAGCAAACCAGCAAUCGAGUGAUUCCACUCAAUGAAGACACGGACGAGAUUGUUGACACCGGCUGCAAGGAUGUGUCACUGAAAAUCCCGGUCUUUGAGACGGCCGUAGCAGAAAGCGUCAACAUAAAGGACCAGGAGGUUUCACCCGCCACCACCACUGCAGGGACGACGGCGGUGAUGACUGAGAAGAAGAAGGAACCAUGGUGGCGCCGGUUUUGUCGUGUUUCCUUCAAGUAGUGUCAAUAGCUCUGUGUCUGUCUGUCUCUGUCUGAGUGUCCGUGUGUCCGUCCGAGUGUCCGUCCGUGUGUCCGUCCGAGUGUCACGGAAAAGUGUCCGAGUGUUUGUGUCUCUCUGUGUGUGUCUCUGUGUCUCUGUGUCUCUGUGUCUCUGUCUCUCUCUCUCUCUCUCUCUCUCUCUCUCUCUCUCUCUCUCUCUCUCUCUCUCUCUCUCUCCCUCUCUCCCUCUAUCCCUCUCUCCCCGGCCGGCCAGCAGCAGAUGGGUCCCCCCACAUGAGUCUGGUUCUGCUCAAGGUUUUUCUUCCCUGUUAAAAGGGUUCUUUCCUUGCCACUGUCGCCUUCAGGCUUGCUCUGUGGGGGUUCAGGCCAUAGGGGUUCUCUCAAGCUUUUUGACACAAUCUGAACUGCAAUUGGCGCUAUGUAAAUAAAAUUGCAUUAAACUGAACUGAAUGUACUUUUGAUCGUUUCUUGAAUAAGUGUAUAAAAAUUUGACAUCAA